UACGAAGGGGGCUAGCGUUGCUCGGAAUCACUGGGCGUAAAGCGCACGUAGGCGGAUUGUUAAGUCAGGGGUGAAAUCCUGGAGCUCAACUCCAGAACUGCCUUUGAUACUGGCGAUCUCGAGUCCGGGAGAGGUGAGUGGAACUGCGAGUUUAGAGGUGAAAUUCGUAGAUAUUCGCAAGAACACCAGUGGCGAAGGCGGCUCACUGGCCCGGUACUGACGCUGAGGUGCGAAAGCGUGGGGAGCAAACAGG
rnacentral:rRNA from 1 species